AACCUGACAGCCGAACAUUGAUGAAAGGAUGAUUUGAUACCAGGUGGAACGGGCAAAGGUGCAGGGGAUGGUGGAGCCCUCAGGAACAUAGGACAGUGGACGACAACCAACUAGAACUACGUUCCCAGGCAGGUGACUGCAAAACCCGGAAAUGAUGCAGGUCAUCUGUCAUUGGAUGCUCAGAAAAGGGCCAGAGAGCUGGACUUUAGCAAGCAGGAGGCAGCAGUCUGUAGCAGUCUGCAAACUGCCAUGAGAGAUGACAUCUGCUAUACAAGUUCCAACAGCCAACAUGACAGGAUGCCCACAAAGAUCUCAUUGAAGCCUAUU